CCCACACAUGGUUAUUGAAAGCACACACAUAAUUUGUCCUCAUGGCCAGACACUCUUGAGGUGUGAGGAUUUUGGUAUAUUGUAAAUAUUUGUUUAUCAGAGGAUGUUUAAGUAUUUUGAAUGGAAAUUUGUGUUCAAAGUAAGUGUCGGGAGCCACUUUUGUUGUUGGGGAGCGUGUGGCACACCUGAGACAGUGUGGCCACAUUUCAGUGAUAAUAUGGUGUGUGAUGAUUUAACUUAUUAUUUUGGAUCAUUAUUUGCAUUUAUGUUAGGACCUUUAUUUAUUUUCUUACAUUAAUGGAGUAAUGACACCGUUUUAAAAAGGAAGUUGUGAGGCGGAACGUUUGUGUUCGCUUCAGUUGCUCCGGGGAACGGUUGAGAGAGCGCACGCUUCCGCUGUUUCCUCAGAAGCAAUUUGGCGCGAAACAAGAUGCACCGUCUCCUCAUUGUUUACUCUUCUACCUGCUUAAUACAGGUCGGUAAACUGUAAAUAAACUAUUAUUAUAUACUUUACAAGGUCGGGUUUUAUUAAUGAAAUUAUUAACUAAAUGUGUACGGAGUUUAUAUUGAUUUUAUAUGCAUAGAAGACCAACGGGAGUUACGUCCGUCCUGGCGCAGUGUGUACAUAUUGGCGCCAUUUUAGGUCUAAAGUGGCCUGACAAUAGAAGAGUGUCUCUCAGGGCUAUUGUGAAUAUUUAGGAUGAUUGUGUACUAAUGUGUUUACUGAUGUGUUUAUUGGGUCUCAGGCACUUUAUUAAUAGUGACUGAAAGUUAUAAAUUGAAUGUAAGUUGUUAAUUACACUAAAGUAUGUUUUGUUCCUGUAGCACAGCAUUUUCUUGUUUAUAUAUUUCUGAAUCCUGUAAUUCUUACAGAAUAGCGCCUGGAGCGCCGAACUGAGCCAGUUGGCAUAUUGGCAUAGUUAAAGGGGCAUUGUGUAAAACUGCUGAAUUGCUCUAAAUGAGUAUAAUACUGUCUAAACCAGUUAAUUACUGUGAGAGAAGAAGUAUUUUAAGACUUAAGAUGUUUAUUUAAAUAUGAAAAUGGAUGUUCAUCACAGAGAGAGUAACUGACCAAGUGAAUGUGUGUUUUAUUGAGACUGUGAAAAUACUGAAGUAAGUAAUGGACUUUAAUGAAGAGUAUGGAAAUACAGAUAACAGAAAUAUAUUGUGUUUAUGGCUACAUGUGUUGAGUGAGUGUAAUAAAACAGAAGCAAUUUGGCGCGAAACAAGAUGCACCGUCUCCUCAUUGUUUACUCUUCUACCUGCUUAAUACAGCUCGUAACAACAGACAG